UAGCUGAUACCUUAACUACCUAUCCAGGUAUUUGUAGAUCUGGCGUGCGUCAGCAGCGUAGUCCAGCAGGAAUCCAACCUGUGUGCUGCUCUCUCUCUCUCUCUCUCUCUCCAAACCCUUCCCCUCUCUCUCUCUCUCUCUCUCUCUCCAAACCCUUCCCCUCUCUCUCUCUCUCUCUCUCUCUAAACCCUUCCCCUCUCUCUCUCUCUCUCUCUCUCUCCAAACCCUUCCCCCUCUCUCUCUCUCUCUCUCUCUCUCUAAACCCUUCCCCUCUCUCUCUCUCUCUCUCUCUCCAGCUCCAAACCAAACCCAGUCUAGGUAUUAGUAAACAAGGCUUUAUUUUGACUGUACAGACAGUUAGUGCAGAAUACACAAAGCUCUUAUCAGAGUGAAUAUAUUACAGAAGAACAGCGACCACUGUUUCAGGGUCUGGAAAAUAAAAUAACAUAAACUCUUUAAUCCUAUUGCCCAAUACACAGUCACACACCUAGUAAAAAAAAAUCACAGUCUCUCUACAAUGGCAUGCAGAGCCAUUGUUAAGUUCAGGGGAGAGGUUUACAGACUGAACCCUUGGGUAAAUGCCAGCUAGGUAUUAAGAGUCUCCAAAGUCGUUGUUCAGGAUGAACCAGACUCCUGUGGCUGUCUAUCUAAUACCAGGACCAUUGGAGAAUCUUUAUUGUUUUGCAUCUCAGCCAGACGUGGUUGUAGAAGAGCUGCAGUGUGUCUAUGUGUUGGCUCAGUAGUGUGCCUGAAGGUAACAGAUUAUUCCCAGGUGAAGAGAGGACAGGUAAAAGUGGAAACCUACAAAUUGGCAGCUCUUGUAACUCCAUGUUAUGAUAAAUAACAACAAAAAAGGUAGAAAUCAAAGUUUAAAUAACUUUUUUUUUUUAACCAUUGAGCGUUUUUCACUCUGAAUGGUUCAUUUACCAUCUACGACAUUAGAUUUGGUACAUCAUGUCCUGCUGCAUCGAUCAGGACUCGUCCUCAAACAGACAGACUCAUCAUGAUUCUAUAUAUAGUGACGUUUUGAAACAAACAAGGUGAGAAAGAAGAGUACAGACUGAGUUGACAAAACAUUAAGAACACCUGUUCUCUUUCCAUGACAGACUGACCAGGUGAAUCCAGGUGAAGGAUAUGAUCCCUUAUUGAUGACAUCUGUUAAAUCCACUUCAAAUCAGUGUAGAUGAAGGGGAGGAGACGAGUUAAAGGAGGAUUUUUAAGCUUUUAGACAGUUGAGACAUGGAUUGUGUGUGUGUGGUUUUAAGUGCCUUUUGAACGGGGUAUGGUAGUAGGUGCCAGGCGCACCGGUUUGUGUCAAGAACUGCAACGCUGCUGGGUUUUUCAAUCUCCACAGUUUCCCGUGUGAAUCAAGAAUGUUCCACCACCCAAAGGACAUCCGGCCAACUUGACACAACUGUGGGGAAGCAUUGGAGUCAACAUGGACCAGCAUCCCUGUGGAACGCUUUCUACACCUGGUAGAGUCCAUGUCCUGAUGAAUUGAGGCUGUUCUGAGGGGGAAAAUGGGAUUCAACUCAAUAUUAGGAAGGUGUUUUUAAUGUUUGUCCACUCAGUGUAAAGUCUCUUCUCAACAUUACACUGUACACUCCAGGUCUACUGUUAACCGCUUAGUAUUACAGAUCUACCUGUUAAAAUAACCGCAUUGAAGUAAUCACUCAUUCAUGAAUGACUUCCACAUUAGCAGGGUUCAGUCUAGUCCAGAAGAUCAGUUGUUAGAUUGUUUGGCUCGUCUUCCUCUUUCAGAGCAGCUAGUAAAAAGUCAAGUAGUAAUUUAUUAUGGAACAUUCUCCCACCGAGAAGCUGUUCAACACAACAUCGACUCCGUAUUGACAACCUUAAAGUGACAGUGUAGUCUGACUGCGUCUGAACCUCAACUUCACAGUUGUUGCUAAUGUAGAGCAUCGUUUGGCUUCACCACAGCCGUCUGUUAGAGAGAGUCAGAGAGUUCAGCUGGAAGCCCAGGUGGCUCCAGGUAAUUGGGAGUCAAGAGAGUUCAGCUGGAAGCCCAGGUGGCUCCAGGUAAUUGGGAGUCAGAGAGUUCGGUUGGAAGCCCAGGUGGCUCCAGGUAAUUGGGAGUCAGAGAGUUCAGUUGGAAGCCCAGGUGGCUCCAGGUAAUUGGGAGUCAGAGAGUUCAGGUGGAAGCCCAGGUGGCUCCAGGUAAUUGGGAGUCAGAGAGUUCAGUUGGAAGCCCAGGUGGCUCCAGGUUAUUGGGAGUCAGAGUUCAGUUGGAAGCCCAGGUGGCUCUGGGUAAUUAGGAGUCAGAGAAUUCAGCUGGAAGCCCAGGUGGCUCCAGGUAAUUAGGAGUCAGAGAGUUCAGUUGGAAGCCCAGGUGGCUCCAGGUAAUUGGGAGUCAGAGAGUUCAGCUGGAAGCCCAGGUGGCUCCAGGUUAUUGGGAGUAAACGUUCAGCUGGAAGCCCAGGUUGUUCCAGGUUAUAGGGAGUAAACGUUCAGUUGGAAGCCCAGGUGGCUCCAGGUUAUUAGGAGUCAGAGAGUUCAGCUGGAAGCCCAGGUGGCUCCAGGUUAUUAGGAGUCAGAGAGUUCGGUUGGAAGCCCAGGUGGCUCCAGGUUAUUGGGACUCAGAGAGUUCGGUUGGAAGCCCAGGUGGCUCCAGGUUAUUGGGAGUCAGAGAGUUCAGCUGGAAGCCCAGGUGGCUCCAGGUUAUUGGGAGUAAACGUUCAGCUGGAAGCCCAGGUAGUUCCAGGUUAUAGGGAGUAAACGUUCAGUUGGAAGCCCAGGUGGCUCCAGGUUAUUAGGAGUCAGAGAGUUCAGCUGGAAGCCCAGGUGGCUCCAGGUUAUUAGGUGUCAGAGAGUUCGGUUGGAAGCCCAGGUGGCUCCAGGUACUUAGGAGUCAGAGAGUUCGGUUGGAAGCCCAGGUGGCUCCAGGUUAUUGGGAGUCAGAGAGUUCGGUUGGAAGCCCAGGUGGCUCCAGGUUAUUGGGAGUCAGAGUUCAGUUGGAAGCCCAGGUGGCUCCAGGUUAUUGGGAGUCAGAGAGUUCGGUUGGAAGCCCAGGUGGCUCCAGGUAAUUAGGAGUCAGAGAGUUCAGCUGGAAGCCCAGGUGGCUCCAGGUUACAUGGUAGUUAUUGCCAAUAGAGGAAGAAAAGGUGAUCCAUCCAUAUUUCUAGGAUGAGAAGGCACUUUGGUGACAAGACUUAGGCUACGUCUGAAAUUACACCCUAUCCCCUAAAAAUCAGGGAAUUAGGUGCCAUUUUGGACACACCCUGGACAGUAAUAUGUAUUGAACUGGUCUAUCAUCGUCGUGGCAGAUGAGUGUGUGUGUUUUCCAGUAGCCUUUUUAUUAACUUCAUGGUCUUUGGGUCGUGCAUCCUGUCUAACAGAUCUUCUCUGGAAUGUUAAAAACUGAGGUUUUAUCCAAGGAGGUUGUGUUUCCCUGGCCAC
rnacentral:lncRNA from 1 species